rnacentral:rRNA from 1 species
UACGUAGGCAGCAAGCGUUGUUCGGAGUUACUGGGCGUAAAGGGUGCGUAGGCGGCUUUUUAAGUCUGGUGUGAAAUCUCCCGGCUCAACUGGGAGGGUGCGCCGGAUACUGAGGGGCUAGAGUGUGGGAGAGGUGAGUGGAAUUCCCGGUGUAGCGGUGAAAUGCGUAGAUAUCAGGAGGAACACCUGUGGCGAAAGCGGCGCACUGGACCACAACUGACGCUGAGGCGCGAAAGCUAGGGAGCAAACAGG